rnacentral:rRNA from 1 species
GCCGCGGUACUUGACCGUGCGAAGGUAGCGCAAUCACUUGUCUUUUAAAUGAAGACCUGUAUGAAUGGCAAGACGAGGGCUUAACUGUCUCCUUUUUCCAGUCAAUGAAAUUGAUCUUCCCGUGCAGAAGCGGGAAUAAUAUCAUAAGACGAGAAGACCCUGUGGAGCUUUAGACACUAAAUCAGCCCUUGUCCAAAAUCCCAAUUAAAGGAAUGAACACUAGAGUGAGACCUGAUCUAAUGUCUUCGGUUGGGGCGACCUUGGGGAAAGAAAAAUCCCCCAUGCGGAACGGAAAUACUAUGCUUCCAAAACUAAGAGAAACCACUCAAAGUAUCAAAAAUUUUGACCCACUAUAUGAUCCGGCCUUAACGCCGAUCAACGGACCGAGUUACCCCAGGGAUAACAGCGCAAUCCUCUUUUAGAGCCCAUAUCGACAAGAGGGUUUACGACCUCGAUGUUGGAUCAGGACAUCCUAAUGGUGCAGCCGCUAUUAAGGGUUCGUUUGUUCAACGAUUAAAGUCCU